rnacentral:rRNA from 1 species
GUCCACGCUGUAAACGAUGCACAUUAGGCGCUAGAGAGUAUCGACCCUCUUUGGUGCUAAAGCUAACGCAUUAAAUGUGCCGCCUGGGGAGUACGGCCGCAAGGCUAAAACUCAAAGGAAUUGACGGGGACCCGCACAAGCGGUGGAGCAUGUGGUUUAAUUCGACGCGACGCGAAGAACCUUACCAAGGCUUGACAUGCACUUGAAUGUCGUAGAAAUACGGCAGCCCUUCGGGGCAAGUGCACAGGUGGUGCAUGGCUGUCGU